CCUACGGGAGGCAGCAGUGGGGAAUUUUGGACAAUGGGGGCAACCCUGAUCCAGCCAUGCCGCGUGCGGGAAGAAGGCCUUCGGGUUGUAAACCGCUUUUGUCAGGGAAGAAAUCCUUUGAACUAAUACUUCGGAGGGAUGACGGUACCUGAAGAAUAAGCACCGGCUAACUACGUGCCAGCAGCCGCGGUAAUACGUAGGGUGCAAGCGUUAAUCGGAAUUACUGGGCGUAAAGCGUGCGCAGGCGGUUAUGCAAGACAGAUGUGAAAUCCCCGGGCUCAACCUGGGAACUGCAUUUGUGACUGCAUAGCUAGAGUACGGUAGAGGGGGAUGGAAUUCCACGUGUAGCAGUGAAAUGCGUAGAUAUGUGGAGGAACACCGAUGGCGAAGGCAAUCCCCUGGACCUGUACUGACGCUCAUGCACGAAAGCGUGGGGAGCAAACAGGAUUAGAUACCCUGGUAGUCCACGCCCUAAACGAUGUCAACUGGUUGUUGGGAGGGUUUCUUCUCAGUAACGUAGCUAACGCGUGAAGUUGACCGCCUGGGGAGUACGGCCGCAAGGUUGAAACUCAAAGGAUUGACG
rnacentral:rRNA from 1 species